UACGGGGGAUGCGAGCGUUAUCCGGAUUCAUUGGGUUUAAAGGGUGCGUAGGCGGCCGAGUAAGUCAGCGGUGAAAGACCGGGGCUCAACCCUGGAAGUGCCGUUGAUACUGUUUGGCUGGAAUGAUCCCGCCGCGGGAGGAAUGAGUGGUGUAGCGGUGAAAUGCAUAGAUAUCACUCAGAACACCGAGUGCGAAGGCAUCUCGCGAGGGGUCAAUUGACGCUGAGGCACGAAAGCGUGGGGAUCGAACAGGAUUAGAUACCCUGGUAGUCCACGCAGUAAACGAUGAUGGCUAACUGUCGGGCCUACGGGUUCGGCGGCCAAGCGAAAGCGAUAAGCCAUCCACCUGGGGAGUACGACCGCAAGGUUGAA
rnacentral:rRNA from 1 species